CCUACGGGUGGCAGCAGUGAGGAAUAUUGCGCAAUGGGCGAAAGCCUGACGCAGCGACGCCGCGUGGAGGAUGAAGGUCUUCGGAUUGUAAACUCCUGUUAAGAGGGAAGAAAACUUAAGCUCUAACAUAGCUUAAGCAUGACGGUACCUCUAGAGAAAGCACUGGCUAACUUCGUGCCAGCAGCCGCGGUAAUACGAGGGGUGCAAACGUUAUUCGGAUUUACUGGGCGUAAAGGGUGUGUAGACGGUAUAGUAAGUUCGUUGUUAAAUCUUUCGGCCUAACUGAAAGCUCGCGAUGAAAACUAUUAUACUUGAGAAUGGAAGAGAGAAGUGGAAUUCUUGGAGUAGCGGUAAAAUGCGUAGAUCUCAAGAGGAACACCGAUGGCGAAGGCAGCUUCUUGGUCCAUUUCUGACGUUGAGACACGAAAGCGUGGGGAGCA
rnacentral:rRNA from 1 species